GUAAAUAAAUUUAGUUAAGACUAUGACGGCGCUUACAUUUUAACUUCUACCGGCGACGAGACGACCUUUUUCACAGUAAUAAAAGCUAGUCUCGAAGGCCAUGCUUUCGCCGAAUUUUCCUACAACUACGCCAAUGGCGGUACUCAUAUAAACGGGCAUGCAAUCAAAGAAGUGAUCGAAAGAGAAAAAAAUUAGUGCCGUCACGACCACCAUGUCGACCAAGAGUUUUGAUUUCAGAUUUGGUUUUCAUACAGUGGAUAAAAUCAGAAUGCACGUGUUUUUGCGAUUUCACCCCCACCGAAAUGUGGCUGCCGCGAGCAGGAUCGAACCCGCGACCUCGAGCUCAGCAGUCUGCGCCACACACCUUUAGAAAUUUUUUUACAUUUUUAGUGCAUAUCUUGUCCCCAAACAUUAAUCAAUACGUCUGUCUUGCUUGCGUUUCCUCUCUUGAAAACUUGCCUCCUUGGAGCAUUUGUCUCGACCCGCAUGGCGGCUGCACGCCAUUCCUAAACGUGAUCCUAGGGCGCUAUUCUGGACCAUAGAGUUAGUAGAACAACUCUAGAGGAAAAGCUGGGCCGGAAAAGUGGGAACCUCUAGGGCGCCGCCCUGUUGCUACUGGUCAAUGUGGCCAGCGCAAUUACUAUUGAAAGAGCUGAAAACAAGUACAGGUCACCUAAUGCUUUGUCAUCUAAAAACGCAUACCUGAUGGCUUUAUGAAGGUGGAACGUUAUAUUAAAUUUACAGAAAGCGAUCGCUAAGUCCAUGACUUAUGUAAAUCACGAUGUACGCAUUCAUGCAAUAAAGGAUGACACGAAUUUCGGUUUCGAAUCUGUUUUUUGGUUGCAUAGUAGUUUCGUACAGUUUAGGUUUGACAUGCGAUCGCGCGUCGACAUCGGACGCUAUGACACACUCGUUCGUGCCUUAUGUGCCACCGAAGCCCCGAAGUGCUCUGGCAUAUACCUUCACAUGUAAGUAAACGAAUGUAUCUCCUUGUUGAGAGUGUCACGCGAGUAGGCAGCUCUUGUGGUGCAUCACAAUCGUUUGAGAAGCGUCACAUUAGUGCAUUUUUAUGCAUGCGGAGCGGUGUUUUUAUUUGCAGGUUUCCCUUCAGUAGGAAAUUGCUGGACAGGCAGACCAGCGCACCGGAAUUGUACUGGCGAAGCCACAAGCAACUCAAAGAAUCUGUUUAAUUGUUGCACUUUGAACAAUCAUGCUUCUACAAAGGCCACAGCAGAAAAACAGCCUGAUGCCGAAUAUUUCUGUGCCACGAAGUAAUCAAGAGGCGAGUGCCUAUAAUGCGGACGAAAUCGAGUGCAUCGAGACUUAGAACGACAGAAAGCUGAGCUAGUUGGUAAGGAUUCAUUAUGCAAAACAGAGGUGAGGCGUGCAGACAGGACACAAGAGUAGAGAAGUGGGCGGCGCUUGUGUUGUUUGCUUGUAAAUACUCUACUCUCGUGUCCUGUCUGCACGCCUCACCUCCGUUUUGCAUAACGAGUGCAUCAACCCACAUAUUGAUAGCGUAGGCGUUUUAUUAACUGUGUAAUGUUUCCAACACUUCCUUGCAUGCCAUUUCAUGUGGAAUAUAUUUUCUGGUCACAAAUGUGUGCAGCGAAUCUAUUUGCAUGAUCGACUCCGCGCCUGUGGGACCGUUCACUUGCACUUGAUGCUGAGUCUUUUACAUAUAUCCAUAAACUGCAGAUAUGCACAUCAGGCCCCUGCGAGCAUUUUCAAAAUUCAAUUAUUUUAGACAACAGGCACAUAUGCAAUACUGACAUAAUCCCGAAUACCACACGUUUCCCUUUUAUGCAGAUAUGCAAUGGCAAGCCCUUCCAUGUGUUCCAAAAGUAAAAUUUAAGCUCUAAAUUAAAGAAGAUAUUUCUAGUCAGAAACAAGCAAAAAUGGUGACUGCAGAGUAUCAGAAGCCCAAGGUACAGAAAUUGUGAGAAGUGUCGAAUGAUUUUAAGGAAAGAGUCGUAUUUGAAAAUGCAAGACUCUUUAGUGGAGGUCAAGCAAGUCAAUAUAGGUAGAAUACUCUGCAAAAUUAUGCGAGUGAGGGGAUGUCAAACAAUGGGUCAGGAAAUGCAUUGUUUUUCUGCAAAACAAAAGCUGAUUGCCAUCACAUAAGUCACUUUAGCAUCAUGAUAAAUUCAGAAAUAAACCAAAAAACAAGACACGCAAAAAUAAAAAAAAACAUUUAAUGAUGCUCUCUCCACACUGGGAUAAAUAAAAACAAACACAUCACAUCUAAUGUGGACAUAUCAGAUGCCUUGUGAAACACUAAAGGAACAAUUCAGUUUCGAGCUAUGGCACUUGCCACAUAGAUGUGGGGGGGCCUUGCACCAAUAGUGAUAGUUACCACUGCAUUUAGAAAUUGAAAGCAUUCGUGCAGACAAGGAUGAUUCUUUCUAUUCUUGGCUACCACUUCAAAUGCCUCCACCAAGUGUUACAAUGCUGCACGCAGCCAUACUAAGGAUCUCGCAGCAACACCUGCAGGUAAAAAGCAGAAGCAGUCAAAGUGCUGGUGUGUUCUGGACACUAUGUUUGAAAACAUUUAGGCAAGAAGAGUGCAAGAAGCAGACAUAACAACUGCAUUUAUUUCCAUAAUUCCCCAUUUAAAUGGCCUUUUCUUUUUGCUUAGACAAUGCCUAUGCCUAGCCACAGCAGCUCCCUCAUACAGACUCCGCAAGCCAAGAGGCCGUGGAGCCAAAUGCAGGCAGCCAGCACACCUCGAACAGCCACCUUGACUGCGGGUGUGUCACCCUAGUCGCCAAGGAAACAUUUGAGGGAAAGUGACAGGCAAUGUGAACAGCCACUUCUCCAUGUAAACAAUACUCUUUCUCUCGGAUGACUCCUACGCCUCGCCACGCCAGCACACUUGUGCACAAAGAUGCCGCAGAGGCACGUGCAGGUCAGAGGCAAGAAGCAGUGGCACUGGUGUCGACUUUUACCCAAUUUCUUUUUCUUACACUGAGGCAGCCAGCACACCUCGAACAGCCACCUUGACUGCGGGUGUGUCAGUAGAUUCCUGUUGUACAUAUGCUCAUAAUAAACUUCAGUAAACUUGAACUUCAUAAUAAACUUGAAGGCAAAUGGGA